UAUUAAUAAACGAGGCAGCCCCAAAGUAGUCGAUAUUUUCUUAUUUAAUAUCAGUGUUUCCAGUCUGGGGACAAACUUGCUGGUGUCACCAGAGAGAAGCUCGGCGGUUUACCUUCAGUACUCUCCAUUAGCGGAUACGUCUAUUUGCGGCAGUUGUAACACCACUAAACGUAUUACCGACACAGAGGAUUGUCCGAUAUUUCAGAAGAAAAUUGAGAGAUAGCCUACAUCCACAGUUUCAGAGUUUAACAGAAAAAUAUUUAUUCCACAAAUCAACUUUGCCGUAACGUAACCAAAGCGUCCCACAUGGCAGGUCUAAGAGUCUGUUUACUGCUGGUGAUGACGUCGUGUUUGCUGCUUUCAAAACCUGUAGAUGGACUCACCUCUCAGCAGUUGUGCACCAUAAUGUGCGCCAGAGGGAUUUGUCCCCCAGGCUGCAAUGGUGCUGACCUGAUCGACUGGAACAAAAGAAGUCUUGAUCACUUUGAUGAUCUCAGCGACGAACAAGGGGUUCCAAAUUGAAGGCGUGAGGCGUAUGAUUGCCAGGGUGAUUGGUUCCGGAAAUCAUCUGAUUGGCUAAUCACAGACGUGUAUCAGUGAUUUGAAUUAAAAAUAAAAUCGAC